ensembl:ncRNA K07A12.9 ncRNA
AGAUUGCGGGCACGGAUAGCUCUUGACCUGGCAUUGUUAGGGGCGCCGCGGCGAUGGCUGAAGUUGUAGGAAGUGUUGAAUAGGCGCAGGACUUAAUCUCU